UUUUAGCUCACCUGUCACAAAGUGACAGGGUGAGCUUUUGUGAACGCUUUUCGUCCGUCGUCCGUCCAUCGUCCGUCCGUAAACUUUUACUUUAAAUGACAUCUCCUCAUAAACCACUAAGCCAAUUUCAUCCAAACUUCACAGGAAUGUUCCUUUGGUGGUCACCUUUAAAAAUUGUUUAAAGAAUUUAAUUCCAUGCAGAACUCUGGUUGCCAUGGCAACCGAAAGAAAAAACUUUAAAUAUCUUCUUUUAAAAAACCCAAAGAGCUAGAGCUUAGAUAUUUGGCAUGAAACAUCUUCUAGUGAAUGUCUACCAAGUUUGUUCAAAUAAAAGCCCUGGGGUCAAAAUUGGCCCCGCCCCAGGGGGUCAUUGAUUUUCCCUAUAUGCAUAUAGUAAAAACUUAAAAAAUCUUCUUUUAAAGAACCCAAAGAGCUAGAGCUAAGAUAUUUAGCAUGAAACAUGUUCUAAUGAGUGUCUACCAAGUUUGUUCAAAUAAAAGCCAUGGGGUCAAAAUUGGCCCCGCCCCAGGGGGUCAUUGAUUUUCCCUAUAUGCAUAUAGUAAAAACUUAAAAAAUCUUCUUUUAAAGAACCAAAAGAGCUAGAGCUUAGAUAUUUGGCAUGAAACAUCUUCUAGUGAGUGUCUACCAACAUUGUUCAAAUAAAAGCCCUGGGGUCAAAAUUAGCCCCGCCCCAGGGGGUCAUUGAUUUUCCCUAUAUGCAUAUAGUAAAAACUUAAAAAAUCUUUUUUUAAAGAACCCAAAGAGCUAGAGCUAAGAUAUUUAGCAUGAAACAUCUUCUAAUGAGUGUCUACCAAGUUUGUUCAAAUAAAAGCCCUGGGGUCAAAAUUGGCCCCGCCCCAGGGGGUCAUUGAUUUUCCCUUUAUGCAUAUAGUAAUAAUAUAAAAAUCUUCUUUUAAAGAACUCAUGGAGCUAGGGCUAAGAUAUUUAGCAUGAAACAUGUUCUAAUGGGUGUCUACCAAGUUUGUUCAAAUAAAAGCCCUGGGGUCAAAAUUGGCCCCGCCCCAGGGGGUCAUUGAUUUUCCCUAUAUGUAUAUAGUAAAAACUUAAAAAAUCUUCUUUUAAAGAACUCAAAGAGCUAGAGCUAAGAUAUUUAGCAUGAAACAUGUUCUAAUGGGUGUCUACCAAGUUUGUUCAAAUAAAAGCCCUGGGGUCAAAAUUGGCCCCGCCCCAGGGGGUCAUUGAUUUUCCCUAUAUGUAUAUAGUAAAAACUUAAAAAAUCUUCUUUUAAAGAACUCAAAGAGCUAGAGCUAAGAUAUUUAGCAUGAAACAUGUUCUAAUGGGUGUCUACCAAGUUUGUUCAAAUAAAAGCCCUGGGGUCAAAAUUGGCCCCGCCCCAGGGGGUCAUUGAUUUUCCUUAUAUAUGUGUAUAGCAAAAACUUAAAAAGUAUUCUUUGAAAAAAUCUAAAUAGCUAGAGUUAAGAUAUUAAGCAUGAAACAUCUUCUAGUGAGUGUCUACAAAGUUUGUUCAAAUAAAAGCCCUGGGGUCAAAAUUGGCCCUGCCCUGGGGGUCAUUGAUUUUCCUUAUAUGUGUAUAGGAAAAACUUAAAAAACAUCUUUGAAAAAACCCAAAUAGCUAGAGUUUAGAUAUUAAGCAUGAAACAUGUUCUAGUAAGUGUCUACAAAGUUUGUUCAAAUAAAAGCCCUGGGGUCAAAACUGGCCCCGCCCCAGGGGUGUCAUUGUUUUUAACUAUAUGUGUA